GAUGAACGCUGGCGGCGUGCCUAAUACAUGCAAGUCGAGCGAACGGACGCGAAGCUUGCUUCUCUGAUGUUUGCGGCGGACGGGUGUGUAACACGUGGAUAACCUACCUAUAAGUCUGGGAUCACUUCGGGAAACCGUAGCUUAUACCGGAUAAUAUUUUGAACCGCAUGGUUCAAAAGUGAAAGACGGUCUUGCUGUCUCUUAUAGAUGGUUCCGCGCUGCAUUAGCUAGUUGGUAAGGUAACGGCUUACCAAGGCAACGAUGCAUAGCCGACCUGAGAGGGGGAUCGGCCAAACUGGAACUGAGACACGGACCAGACUCCUACGGGAGGCAGCAGUAGGGAAUCUUCCGCAAUGGGCGAAAGCCUGACGGAGCAACGCCGCGUGAGAGAAGAAGGUCUUCGGAUCGUAAAACUCUGUUAUUAGGGAAGAACAUAUGUGUAAGUAACUGUGCACAGCGUGACGGUACCUAAUCAGAAAGCCACGGCUAACUACGUG
rnacentral:rRNA from 1 species